rnacentral:rRNA from 1 species
AUGGCGGGCACUGCCACCACAUCCACAGCCACGGUUCUCGUCAUUCUUGUCAUCCUGUCAUGUGGCCUCCCCGCAGGCCACGCUAACGCGGUCUUCAUCUCCCGCACAUGCAAGAAGACCAAUAACGCCGCAUUGUGUAAGCAAGUGCUACAACUCAACCAAGAUAGCGUCAAGGCCUCCACCGUGCACGACCUCGCCAGCAUCGCACUAGGGAUAGCCACCUCUUUCACUACCUUUCAGGCCAAUAACAUCAGAGUCGGGGCCAAAUUCAACCAGGGUACACCCGUGGGAGACGCGCUAUCCGUCUGCCUCCGGGCCUAUUCAGAUGCCGAAGAUGACCUCAGGUACAAAGCGAAACGAAGCUUCGAUCGUGGGGACUAUGCGGACGCGUCAAAGAUCGUGAUGGGUGCUAAGGCCGCCGGUUAUGUGUGCGAUAACACGCUGAAGCGGAUCAAAAAGGAUUUCCAUGCCGAAGUAGAUCGCUAUAUGAAGGAGCGAUGUGGCGUCGCUGCUGAACUCAUCGGCCUCCUUAUCCAUAAGUGA